rnacentral:rRNA from 1 species
AUACGGAGGAUCCGAGCGUUAUCCGGAUUUAUUGGGUUUAAAGGGUGCGCAGGCGGGAGAUUAAGUCGGCGGUGAAAUUUUUCAGCUCAACUGUAAAAGGGCCUUCGAUACUUGGUUCCUUGAGUGUGGAUGAAGUAGGCGGAAUUUGGGGUGUAGCGGUGAAAUGCUUAGAUAUCACGAGGAACUCCGAUUGCGCAGGCAGCUUACUAAACCACUACUGACGCUCAGGCACGAAGGCGUGGGGAUCAAACAGGAUUAGAUACCCUGGUAGUCCACGCAGUAAACGAUGAUUACUGGCUGUUUGCGAUACAAUGUAAGCGGCUGAGCGAAAGCGUUAAGUAAUCCACCUGGGGAGUACGUUCGCAAGAAUGAAACUCAAAUGAAUUGACGGG